AUUGAACGCUGGCGGCAGGCCUAACACAUGCAAGUCGAACGGUAACAGGAAGAUGCUUGCUUCUUUGCUGACGAGUGGCGGCCGGGUGAGUAAUGUCUGGGUAACUGCCUGAUGGAGGGGGAUAACUACUGGAAACGGUAGCUAAUACCGCAUAACGUCGCAAGACCAAAGAGGGGGACCUUCGGGCCUCUUGCCAUCGGCUGUGCCCAGAUGGGUUUAGAUAGUAGGUGGGGUACCGGCUCACCUAGGCGACGGUCCCUAGCUGGUCUGAGAGGAUGACCAGCCACACUGGAACUGAGACACGGUCCAGACUCCUACGGGAGGCAGCAGUGGGGAAUAUUGCACAAUGGGCGCAAGCCUGAUGCAGCCAUGCCGCGUGUAUGAAGAAGGCCUUCGGGUUGUAAAGUACUUUCAGCGGGGAGGAAGGGAGUAAAGUUAAUACCUGUGCUGAUUGACGGUACCCGCAGAAGAAGCACCGGCUAACUCCGUG
rnacentral:rRNA from 1 species